AAAUUGAAGAGUUUGAUCAUGGCUCAGAUUGAACGCUGGCGGCAGGCCUAACACAUGCAAGUCGAACGGUAACAGGAAGCAGCUUGCUGCUUUGCUGACGAGUGGCGGACGGGUGAGUAAUGUCUGGGAAACUGCCUGAUGGAGGGGGAUAACUACUGGAAACGGUGGCUAAUACCGCAUAACGUCGCAAGACCAAAGAGGGGGACCUUCGGGCCUCUUGCCAUCAGAUGUGCCCAGAUGGGAUUAGCUGGUUGGUGAGGUAACGGCUCACCAAGGCGACGAUCCCUAGCUGGUCUGAGAGGAUGACCAGCCACACUGGAACUGAGACACGGUCCAGACUCCUACGGGAGGCAGCAGUGGGGAAUAUUGCACAAUGGGCGCAAGCCUGAUGCAGCCAUGCCGCGUGUAUGAAGAAGGCCUUCGGGUUGUAAAGUACUUUCAGCGGGGAGGAAGGUGUUGUGGUUAAUAACCGCAGCAAUUGACGUUACCCGCAGAAGAAGCACCGGCUAACUCCGUGCCAGCAGCCGCGGUAAUACGGAGGGUGCAAGCGUUAAUCGGAAUUACUGGGCGUAAAGCGCACGCAGGCGGUCUGUCAAGUCGGAUGUGAAAUCCCCGGGCUCAACCUGGGAACUGCAUUCGAAACUGGCAGGCUUGAGUCUUGUAGAGGGGGGUAGAAUUCCAGGUGUAGCGGUGAAAUGCGUAGAGAUCUGGAGGAAUACCGGUGGCGAAGGCGGCCCCCUGGACAAAGACUGACGCUCAGGUGCGAAAGCGUGGGGAGCAAACAGGAUUAGAUACCCUGGUAGUCCACGCCGUAAACGAUGUCUACUUGGAGGUUGUGCCCUUGAGGCGUGGCUUCCGGAGCUAACGCGUUAAGUAGACCGCCUGGGGAGUACGGCCGCAAGGUUAAAACUCAAAUGAAUUGACGGGGGCCCGCACAAGCGGUGGAGCAUGUGGUUUAAUUCGAUGCAACGCGAAGAACCUUACCUGGUCUUGACAUCCACGGAAGUUUUCAGAGAUGAGAAUGUGCCUUCGGGAACCGUGAGACAGGUGCUGCAUGGCUGUCGUCAGCUCGUGUUGUGAAAUGUUGGGUUAAGUCCCGCAACGAGCGCAACCCUUAUCCUUUGUUGCCAGCGGUCCGGCCGGGAACUCAAAGGAGACUGCCAGUGAUAAACUGGAGGAAGGUGGGGAUGACGUCAAGUCAUCAUGGCCCUUACGACCAGGGCUACACACGUGCUACAAUGGCGCAUACAAAGAGAAGCGACCUCGCGAGAGCAAGCGGACCUCAUAAAGUGCGUCGUAGUCCGGAUUGGAGUCUGCAACUCGACUCCAUGAAGUCGGAAUCGCUAGUAAUCGUGGAUCAGAAUGCCACGGUGAAUACGUUCCCGGGCCUUGUACACACCGCCCGUCACACCAUGGGAGUGGGUUGCAAAAGAAGUAGGUAGCUUAACCUUCGGGAGGGCGCUUACCACUUUGUGAUUCAUGACUGGGGUGAAGUCGUAACAAGGUAACCGUAGGGGAACCUGCGGUUGGAUCACCUCCUUACCUUAAAGAA
rnacentral:rRNA from 1 species